GACCAUAGAUAUAUAUAAAGACUAGAUGUCUUCCGGCGGAGUCUAGAACGUCAUCACUGGCGGCCAUCUUGCCACAGGCAGGCUUUCUGGAAGGAUCUGUGGUACCUGAGGGAGGGUUCCUCUCUGUCCUGGGCUACAUCAUAAACAUUGACACGUUGCUGGCGAUGGUUCCUGUGCUGAUUGAAGGACAGCGAUAUGUCUUGACCUACAGAUUCAGCAAGGACCACUUGGAACUGCUCUUUAACUCCAUCAGAGCAUCCGGUGGCUGGAAUAA